GCGAACUUCACAGCUACAUGGCCAAGCCCACCAAAACCACCAACACCAAUAUUCAUUCCCGGCUUGUCCAGUCCAAAGUACCUCUAGGGGCUGUAAGUUGUAAUCCCAGCACAUAAAAGAGGAGCACCAACGUCAAGGGGAAAGUUCUCAGGCCAACGAACAAUGAAGUGCUCAUCAGCAACCAUUAACCUCCACAUGUAAUGGUACCAUCAGUGUAAACAGCGCUAUAGGUAGGUAUCAUUUUAGAACAGUAAUUUUCAAGAUCAUUGCUGCAUUUAUCACACUGGCGACAUGAUCCAACCAUACAUCCAACUCCUACUUUGUCCCCAAACUUGACAUUCUUCACCUUGCUGCCAACCUCAGUUACUUCACCCACUAUGUCGUUCCUGCAAUAAACAGCCCAGUUCAACAUAUGCAUCAACUACUACUUUCGAAGAUAUAUAAUCUUUUAAUAACUUUAAGAUGAUUCACAGACUACCGCAACAGUUAGCAUUCAAUUUCUAUGAUUUAGUUUAUUAGAUAGUAUAUCCAUGGAAGCCAAAGAAUCAAUCCAUAGUAAGUCCAACUGGUGGUACAAAAAAGCAAAGACAGUUGCCACUUUUUAUUUUUAUUUUCAUAUAUGGAAUCAGAAAUGCUUGUAUUCAUCCAAAUAUGUCACAAGAAUCUGUUUAAAUAUUUCUAUAUUCUCUGCUUUCAAAUCCAGAUUACAACAAUCACUGAUCCUCACAAUACUAACACAGUAAUUGUGUGUGAGAUGUGUGCAUAUUGAACCACCCCAUCUAAAAAGUCCAAGGCAUUUAAGUACAGACAUUUACGGAGGCUCAUUUAGGUUACAAAUUCAAUUCUGUUUUUUCUUAACAAAACCAUUGAUGACUAAUAACAAACAUCUAAAAAAAAUUAAAUUCUCAUCAGGGAUGCACCUGUAAUGUAGAGAAUCUGCUAUGCGAGCACUGUUGACCUGGGAGCCACCAGGGCAAAUGCAGAACUUUGUCCUGUAAAAUCUCUUUUGAUACACUAGAUGUCCUAGAAAACUUCCAUGAGAAGUGAUUUGGCCUUUUGUCACAAUUGUGAAAUUUAGGAUGACAUGAGGUAAUUACUGGAUCAAGGUAAAGUCCAAAAAAGAAUUCCAUGUUUCUCAUCAUAAAUUCGCCCAUCGUUUGCCUCGUAAAAUAAGAAAAAUGCUUAUGAAAAUAACUUUUGGCAACGCGCAGACCAAUCAUGUGAAGGAUCUUAUAUCCUAUAUGCCCUCGUUUUUAUCAAGAAAACCCUGAAUUAACAUAGUAUAAGUCUGUAGAUUAAGCUGGCAACCAAGUUUCUCCAUGACAUUUAACAGCUCAGAGCAUCUAUCAACAAGACCCUUUUCAACAACAGGACAAUCAGAAGCUUCCAAGCAACUUCAUCAUAAUUGUAACCACAUUGGAUAAGCAUACAGAAUGCAGACUUAGCCAUCUCAUCAUUCCCUUCAUCAUACAAUCCACAAACAAGCAGCUUAUAGGAUUCUAUAUGUGGUAGAAGUCCAAGCUUGAGCAUGGUAUCAAGUAUCUUCAUUGCUUCCUCAUACAUUUUCAACUUAGAGCAACAAUUCACCAGUGCAUUAUACAUAUCUUCACUGGGCGACAUUCAACAUUGUUUCAUAUGAUCAACCAACUUCCAGGCUUCUUCAAAGCGUCCUUCUCGACAAAGUCCAGUGGUGAGUGCAUUGUAAGUGUUAACAUUUGGUGAGCAGCCAUUUCCAACCAUUUUCUUGAAGAGCAUAAGAGCUGUAUCAUAUUCCAUUAUUUUCCAGACAUCUGCUAUAUUAAUUGAGUUUUCUUCUGUUUUUGGAUCAAGUUCCGUUCUACAACCACUUCCGUUCGUUCGUUUCUCAUGUAAGAGGUGUUUGAUUAAAACAGAGUAGAUAUAAUGAGUUGGUUCACAUCUAGCAUCAACCAUACAUUUGGGCAUAUCAAAAGCACGAUCUAGUAAACCUGAACGUCCAUUUCCAUCAAUUAAUACUGUGUAAGCCUUGAAAUCUGGUUGCACCCCUUCUUCUUUCAUUUUAGCCAUCAAAUCCUCUGCUUCUUUCAACUUCCCUUGGUUGCAAUAUGCAACAAGAAAUGAAGUGUUUGUGCAAACAUCAGGUUUAUUUCCCAGGGAAACCAUCUGAUGAAACACCUUAUAAGCAUGAUCAAAGUCAUAUUCUUUUAACAUUUGCUCAAUGAGAAUAGUGUAAGUAACAACUGUAGGUUUCACACCUUCUUCCAGCAUUCUUUCCAGAAAUUCUGCUGCUUCAGGCAGUUUUUUCUCUUUGCACAGCCCACUAAUCGGCACAUUGUAAGUGUAUGAGUUCGGAUGGAAGCCCUCACCUGUCAUUCUUCCAAACAAAGUUAGGGAAAAAUCAAUCUUCCCAGCCUUGCAGAAUCCAUCAAUCAGAGUAGUGUAUAUAACUACAUUUGAAUUUAAACCAUUCUCCUUGAGAGAGUCGUAUACAUGAUAAGCCUUCUCAACCGUCCCUCUUUCACAUAAUGCAUCAAUGAGAGCACCAUAAGUUAACUGGUCAGGAACUACAUUUUGCUCUUCCAUCAACCUAAGCAGCCUAAAAGCGCUAUCUAUAUCACCCUCUUUACAUUGUCCACAUACUAAUAAGGAAAGUUACAAGAUUUGGAGACAUCUUCUGCUCUAGCAUCUUACUAAGAAGUGUCAUUGCCUUGUAAACUUGUUUUACCUCACAAUAUCCAGAUAUUAACUCAUUGUAGGUUCUCACAUCUGGAAGACAAGUAUUUGAUUCCAUCAUGGUAAAUAUAUCAAAAGCAGCACCAAUCAGACAAAUUCUAUGACCAUCUCAGAUUGUUCCUUUUCCUUUUUAUUUUACUUUUUUUUGGAACGCAAGAUAUUUUGUCUCACUUCAUCACCAUUGGUCAAUCAAGAAACAAUUUGAUAGGUCGGUAGGUGCGUAGGUAACAAGACAAGUAGAAAAGGAAUUGAUGGGUGGAGAUGCUUCCAUGAAGCACGAUUUGGAAGAAAAUAAGUUAAUUUCUCCUCCAAAGUAAUAUGCAGUAGAGGUCUAUCAGUUGAUCUCUAUAGAAUCUUCCGGAUUGGGCUCAAUAGGUACCCUAGUUCAUAUAUUCAAAUUUCUGUCAUGAAUUUGUCCCUUCCUGUAAAUAAUCUAUUCUGGUAUGGAUGAAAAUGCACAUAGCAAACAAGCAUACUUUUGAAAGUCGAGAUAGCCAAGUGGAUUAAAGCUUUUGAAUGAAAUCUAUUCUUUCUACUCUAUUGUUCUCUUGAUUUUGAAAGAAAUCUUUAGCUUUUGUUUAAUUUUAAGUCUAAAAACCUUAUCCAAUCUGUUUUAACACUUGGAUAUGAUAAAAAGAUGCAUGCAAUUACCCAAAUCUAAAUUCUCCCAGGCUAAAACAACAAUCCCCAUAUUGGAAUCACUUGAAAAGAUAGAGAGGUAUAUCUUAUACAAGUAAAUCUUCUUCUAUUCAUCUCUUAUCUCUUUAAUUGUCUAUCAUUUCUCUCUCAACAGAUACAUCAAGCAAUGCAUAAACGAUACACAAUUCAUAAUUCACUUGGAAAGUGUAUUUAUUUCUAUUAGAAUACUUUAAGCCUUCUUGUGAUUUUGUAGAUGAUCUAAGAAUCGCUCCAUAUAACCAUCUUGUAUAUCUUUAUUCGACAACAAUUCUCUCAUCUCUUUAACCUUUUCCCUGUAAACUUUACCUCCUCCUUCCACCAUCACCAAUCUCAGAGAGUAAGCAACUGCGUCUUUAGUAAAUGAUCCGUCCAGCUCAUUUCUCGCUAUCUCAUGUCCCAACUUCUUUUCCUCCAAUAGGCUGGAAAUCAAUCCUUGGUCCGCCAAGAAAGGCAACAAGAUUAUCCAUUUCCCGAAUUGCAAAGCCUCCACGACUGAGCUCAGCCCGGAGUGACACAAGAUUCCACCCACCGACUCGUGGCUCAGUACCUUGAGUUGAGGGACCCAACUUGUAAAAACCACCCCACGUCCUUUGGUUCUCUCCUCGAACCCUUCUGGUAAAUGAGUCGCCUCAUUAUCUGCUGCCCCUCGUUGCUUCCUCAGAACCCAGAAAAAUGGCAAUUCCGACUUCUCCAAGCCUAAUGCAAUUUCAGUAAGUUCAUCUUGAUUUGGUUUCGUUUCACUUCCAAAAGCUACAUAAACAACCGAUCCUUUUUCUUUCGCGUCAAGCCAUUCCUUAAUUUCAAUCCAGUUUUCAUUUUGCUCAUCAGAACCACUAUUAGUAGUUGUUGGGGGCAAAUGGCCGACUGGAAUAAUUGGUUUUUCGUAAAUAUUCUCUAGAAGAUUUAGCCACUCAGGCUCAAACUCAUAACAACUUCUCAUCACCACCACAUCACAGCCGUCAAUGGUGGCUACCAAUCGGUACAUGUCCGAAACAUUACCUCCGUCUAUCAUUGCCUCCUUAAACUGGCGAUUAAUUUGAAAAAAGCGCAUAGAAACAGAUGUUUCAAAGGGUACCCACUUGGGUUUCACAGUGAAAUCUUCGGGCUUCACCCGAUCAUCUUGAUUUUGCAAUGUAAGUGAUGUUGGGCCAGCAAAGCUCAAAAGAGUUGCAGUAAAUAUGCUGAAAAAAGCACAAGGAAUGUUGAGUUUAGCAGCUUCUGGGUAUAACCAGUAUUGAGCAAAAUCGGCAAUAAUCCAGUCAGGUGAGGAGUCUUCCAACAAAAAAGUGAUUCUUGGCUGAAGCUCGUCGAAGGCAAUUUUAAGGUAGCGGACCAUAUCGAAUGGUACAUCAAUGGUGGCUUCUGCAUCUUCAGGUAGAUUAUCAACUUUUGGCAAUUGAAUCUUGACAAAUUCUAUCAGAUGGGUUAUAUUCGGAGGCAGUUUGGGAAGGCGAUCUAUGUUUCUGGGAGUCGAAACAAAGGAGACACUGUGGCCUUUCUGGGCUAUGAGCUUGGCGAGCUCUAGGUAUGGAAUCAAGUGACCGAAGGCCAGCCAUGGGAACAUGAGAAUAUGCAAUUUACCCUGCUCAGCCAUGGACUACAGAUUUAGAGGUGCAGUGCACAAGAUUCUCGAUUAUACUUUGAAGGUUUGUGAUUGAGAUAUUUAUGUUGAUGAGAUCAGUACAAUUUCAACGUGCUUUUCAUACCAUAAAUAUCCUUGUCAUUCCACGGGAACGCCAGCAAAUGAGGGUGAAGAGGGACCGGGAUUGUUCCGUAUAUGAUAUACUUUCCAAUGGUACACGCCAAACAUAUCCAACAUCUAUAUGAAGCCCCUGUUUGAAGGAUUAAAGUCUAAAUUUUAUCCUAAAUCAAAAUCAACAAUUUAUUUUAAUCACACACUUUAUUAAAUUCACGACAUUUCAAUAACAUAUUUUAUUGAUUUUUAUCAAUCAAAAUUUAUUUUUUAAUGUUUUAAAGCUAUAUUAAUUCAAAUAAUGAUGUUUAAUCUUUCCAAUCUUAUGUAUUUUUCUACGUCUCUCUUUAUGUUUGAUUGUUAAAAUCAUAGGAAGAGAAAGAUAGCAAACUGACAAUAAUUAUAAGAGGCACAAUCAAGCUUCAAUUCGAUUUUUUCAAAACGAUAGAUACAACACUACGGUAAAAUAACAGAUUCGGGUAAAACUUAAAUCAAUUUGAUUAAUUUGAACUCGAACUAAAAAUUAAAAAUAGGAAAAAUUAUAUUUUUGGCUUUGAACUAAAUUAAUUAAUUAGUAAAUUUAUUUAGAAAAAAAUAAAAUAAUUUGAUUUAUUUAAAACAAAUAAAUUUAAAAUAUUAGAAAGAUUCGAUUCUUAUUCGAAUUUUCAGUUCUUGAUCUAGAACUAAGAACCGAUCCAAAUCCGUAGAUUCUCAAUUUAAAUACCCAUUUUGAUAUUUACCUUAAGAAGAACCGUUCGGUUUGGGUCGAGAGUUUUGUCUUCACAAAUAACAUUCAUGACGAUUGACAAUAAGGUAAAAGUUAUGAACAAUGCUAUAGAUAUAGAUUUUUUCUAUAGAUUUUGUACAUCAAGUGGAUAUUUUUUAUACUGUUAUAACUUUGGGUUAAGCUAUAUUUUACUACUACUGAAGAAAGGUAAUUGCAUAAUAAAUAAAAAUUUCCCUAAUUUUAAUUUUCAAAAUAUAUAAAAUGGAGCUUUCCAUGCCUUGAUGUGUUGAAGACAUAUACAUCUUGUAUUAGGCUAUAAAGAAUAUGAAGGUAUGUUAGCCUUGUGUUUACGAGGUUUGUCUUGGAGGUUUUCGUCACACGUCCUAAACUUUAAAAAGCAUCUGAAAAAUGGGACAUCCUACGCUAGUAGAAGUGUCUAUGCUUAGCAGAAAAUGGAUCUUAUUUUUAAAUUCUUACCUUUUUGUGUACAUAUCAUAGUUAAUUUUUAGCAACAAUGGAGGUAGCUAUAUAUGAUACAAUGAUCUACAUAUUCAAGAAAUUACGUAACUAAAACUUAUAGCUAAAUUUAGGAAUCUGUUUCUUGAAAAUUAAUGAAAAAUUUAUUAGCAUGCAAGAAAUUUUUCAGUAAUUUCUUUAGAGUAGCUAUUUGUGUAAUAACCUUGUCUCUUUAUACAAUACACUUAUUCUUUUAUUGGUUCUCCUAUUGGUAAGAACUAAGAAGUUGCACAAGAAACCUUGUCUCUUUAUACAGCACACUUAUUCUUUUAUUGGUUCUCCUAUUGGUAAGAACUAAGAAGUUGCACAAGAAAAGAUUGCACUUGUAAGUAAACAAUUUUUAAUGUAUUGUAGAUGAAAAAUCUAAGUACUGCAAUGAUUUUGACUUGCGGAAGCCCCUAGAGAGGCACUUCCAUAAUGGACAACAGAUUGAUAGCAUUAGACUUGAAGAUUCUGCUGAUCUCACUACAUUUAUAACCGUUGUUUGAGCUUCUUAUCUCAAACUCCUAGGUAGUUGUUUAAACAUUGUAGCCGAUAUGAACAACACUCUUUGUACAAUUGGUGCUUUCUAAAGAAACGUUUAUGGGGGACUAAGGUUUUUGCUGUCAAUGAGAUUGAAUAAGAUUACGGAGAUCGUCAAAGAUUACGGCUAUAUUACCAUUAUAAUUGUACCAUAUCUAUAUAUGGUAUAAUUAUAAUGGUAAUAGAGCUUUUGAACUAUUAAUGUAAAGCUCGGUGGAGUGUGGAAACAUGUUGGACACAUUAUUUUCUUGGUUCUAGUUGCAGCAACUAACAAGAGUAGCUACAAUAUAAUGAAAGCUAGCCCAUGUUUGGUGCCCAUUAUUUAAAAAAUAAUAAGAAGAAGAAGAAGAAAAAUUGAAUUGUAUUUUUAGGAGAAUGUUUGGUUAAAAAGUAGAGAAAAGUUUGGAGUUUACGUGCAAAAUAUUUAAUUUUGUGAAUGUGUGGCUAAAAAUGAUCCUAUAGGGAAAAGAUAUUUAAAACAAUUGGCACCAAAUUGGGGCUUAAUAUUAUAUCGUGGUGUUACAUUAAAGGAAAAAGAAAUGUGUUGGGCAUGGUAAGUGAUGUCCAAAUCCCCAAGGUGAUGAUGAAAAAUCGAGACCCGUUUCAAUUUCAUAGGCUAUAAGCCUUGGAUUGAAGAAUUGAAUCCACGCCACAAUUGAAGUAGCCCAAUUAUGUAGGGUAUUUAGAGGUAAUCAAUCCAUUGGGCUAGAUGUACAAUACCCAAUUUGGAGGUAAUUUGAAAAUUACAAGAAAUAUAGAUAAUUUAUAAUCUUUAUUUUAUCUCGUCUUGAGCUCUAUCUUUUAGUUAACAUAAUCUUGUAGAUUUCUAUUCAUCCUAAUUUUGCAAGAUUUCUGGGAAAUCUGUUCUCUAUAUGAGCCUAUAAAUUGGAGCCUUCACCCUUCAUUUUUCUAUGUUUUACAUAAAAUAAGUGUGAUAAAUUAUAUGAAAGAAGAGAUUUGAAGAUGAAAUCCAGUCAUGUCUGUGUAUUCUUUGAAGUAAUGUUACUCAUUGAGUUGAGGUGAUCAUUGAUCUCAGUGAAACUAUAUUGACUCAUUUUACUUUAAAAAUAGCAUUGCUUAUUCUUUUAUAAGAGCGUUUCAAAAGAUUCUCUCUUUAUAUAGAAUAUCUUUAAAUAGAAUUUAUACAUUUCAACAUUGCUUUUUAUAUUGACUCCUCAAUAGCAUUAUUCAUUCUUUUGUAAGAGCAUUCUCAAGAGACUUGCUAUUUAUAUGGAAUAUCUUUAAAUAUAUUUAUACGCUUCGACAUUGCUCUUUAAAUUGACGACUCAUCUUAGUUUUUUCAGGAAACAUUUAUUGAAUUCUCAUCUUGUUUCUUCAUUUGUCAAUAGUCAAUUAAUUUUAAAAAAUGAUAAAAAUAAUUUAUGAAGUGAAAUAUAUUCAAGUAUGUAGCUUAUUAAAAUAAAUUUAUUAUAAAAUAAGAAUGGAGUAUGACUUUCGCACUUCGUAAAAAUUGUAAAAAAAAUUGUAACUUAUUUUCAAGCAAUGAUUUUAAAAUAGAGAGCAUUUCGUAUUUCAAAAAAAAAAAAAAAAAAAAAAAAACUAUAGAUGAUAGUCUAGAGAGAUUGGCUACAGUUUUCUCCCUUCUUUUCCUCCUUGUUCAAUGUGCACCUUUUGUUUGUACAUGUUUGGGGAUUUUCAGACAUUGACUGCUGUUUCAUUGUUGUAUCUGAAGUCAGUCUAGCGAUUUUAGCAGUUGGAAACUGAAUCAAAAUUUUUUUUUUCUCUUCCCUCAAUUGGAGCCAUCUAUGCCAUAUUUCUGAAUUGAUUUUCGAGCUUGGGAAUUUUAAUUUAAGCAAGUCUCUACGAUGUUAUUACCAUUGUCAUGAUAUCAUCUUCGGUUAAAUAUUUUCUCGUGCUACUUUUGACUAGGAUUAAGCAAAGAAUAUAGUCUUGAUUGUCCAUGGGCAGUGUUUUGAUAAUUCACAACAUUCAAUAAGCGAUGGAGUAUGAUAGUUGAUAGAUUUGAAGAAGAAAGAUACAUUUUAGUUUGAAGGGACGUGGUAGAUAAUGAUGAGGGGACAAAAAGGAAAAACACUUGUGUAACACGCUAAGUUCUUCUUUGAGCCCCAUUUUCGUAAUAAAAUGUGUAUUGAAAUAUUGGUUUUUUUUAAAGUGUAUGUGGUUAAAAAAUAAGGAAAAAUUUUCGAUUUUAGUGUAAAAUUAUUUUAUGGAAGAUAUGUGAUUGAAAAUGAGUUUUGAAAAAAUGAAAACCAAACAUAGGCUAAGUCUCUGUUUGAUUCUCAUUAAAAUCAAAUGUUCUUGUUCGAUACACAUUAUUUGGAAAAAAUACAUUUUUAAAUAGUAAUUUGACAUAAUUUCAAUCAUACAUUUUUCAAUAAAAUAAUGUUACACGUAAAUAUAAAUUUUUUCUUAUUUUUUAAUCACAUUUCUCAUCAUUACACUAUUCAAAAAUACAUUUUUAUAAAAAUAAUGUGGUUCAAACAAAGGCUAAAAUUAGAUUUUAAUGAGUUUGCAAAUGUUUCAACAGUACUUUAUUAUAAAAAAAAAUUCUGUUCUUUUAACUAAAAUUAGACAUUUGGCAGAAUUCCUAAUUUACACAAGGCAUUCGUUGAAAUUGUUUUUUUAACUAAUCUAUUCUCAAGUUUUGCGUUGAAAUCAUGAAUCUAGCCUACAUUAAUUCUUCCCCAAAUCCCUUUAAACACUACAUAUUUUGGGCUAAGGAAACCUAAAAAAUAGGACGUCGAAAAGUCAAAUACAAAAUUGCAGGUUCUUGACAUUGUUUAGCCAUUUCACUAUACGUGAGACCACAUAAUUUGAAGGGAAAAAUACACUAUAGAAAUAAUAUUUCGUAAUUAACAAUAUUGAAAAAUAGUUUAAAAAUUCAGAUGAUAAAUUUAAUAUUAAAAAAAUAUAUAUAAAUAUAAAUAGUAUCGUCUAAUUUAGGAUAAAAUAUAAUUUAAAAUAGAUCCUAAAAAAUAGGAAAUAUUUCAUUUUUAAAAGAUAUUUAUCAAUCUCUCAGUUCAAGUCCUUUUAGGGCUAUUGAAGUGAGGACCUGACUGUAAACUUAAGGUCUCGUGGAAUUAGUCGAGGUACGCGUAAAUUGAUCCGAACACACACGGACAUUAAAAAAAAAAAAAAUUUAUCAAUCUCCAGCCACAAUCAAACACUGACUUUCUCUCUGUAGAAUCCCAAUUCACAAAUCCUCUCCUUAAUCACUAAAAUUUCUCUCCUAAAUCAUUGAUUGACCACGAAACCAUUGUAAUGCAGACAUCAAUAGCUUAUGAAAUUCAUUAUUUUAGAGAAGCUAUAGCUCGUUAGAUUUAUCAUAUUUUCCUUGAGCAAAUUUGAUCAUUUUGGCUCUUCUAGUCACAUGGUAAAUCUAUUGCAACUGUGUUUGCAUUCAAGAAACACAUAUCUAGGUACACAUAAGCUUUUGAAGUUUCUGUAAUCAUUUUUUUUUGAAUUUUAUGACAAUUGCUUCUAACUGUGAUCAUUAACUGUAAUUCAUGAAUUUUGUGUGCAUUUUACCCCAUUUGUAACAUAUGUUUACAAUUUUGUGAUUAGACAGUAUGCAUUUAUUAUUUGUAAUUUGAGAAUUUUUAACAUUGUUGAUCUAAAAAUACUAUUCUAAACAUAUUUAGGCAAAAAAACUGUUUGUGACUAGUGUUUGCAAUGAAUGUAACUAUCUGUAACCAUGUUUGUGCUUCAAUCACAUUGUAUAUAUUUAUUUUAAAUGUGAGUGAUUGUGACUUGAGAUGAAUCAUUUGUGGCCUCUGUUUUAUAUAUCAUGACCAGCUAAUAUGUGAAAUGGAAACAAUAUGUGACCUGUUACGCCCCUAUCUGAACCACCUCGGAACGCCCAGGACCAUACAUUCCGACCUGAUAGACACCCGUCCGAAGUGAUAUCACCAAUGUCAACAACCUAGUAGCACGCUGCGAGGUACAGACGAUCCCUACUAGGUAUAGGCGACCCUACUGAACUGACCGAAGCACCUCGCCUUCGAGUCCGAGGCCAAGUGGACCCCUGUUAGAAGAUCCGUCGCCAAUUUCAGAAAGAGAUUUGUGCCGAGAUCUUCUCUGCACCUAAGGUUUAAAUUGAUUUGAUGUCUCCAUGAUGCUAGUUGAUGUGACUUAUCCUUUACAUCCCCUGCAUUUCACUAUUAAUAAUUAUGCGGCUGCACUUUAGUCUUCUAUUGUGAAUCUUUACAAUGAUCUCAUGUGCAAUGUGCUGUCUUACCAACUUUCGCAGCAAAAGCUAGCAAAGAGGGAGGGUGGAAGCAUUGACAGAAGCCAGGACAUUACUCUCUUACGAGAAUUUUAUAAACCAUACAGAGAGAAGCAUAAUGUAGACCAGUUGCGAGAAGAGGAAAUGAAGUUGAGGGAGUCCGGUGUUUUUAGUGGUAACCUCGGAGAGCAUGUUCUAAAUCCCAAUACUGGUUAUCCUAGGAUUCAUUCAUAAUAAAUUUCAGUUUUUUGCAAAUCAGACACCUUGUUUACUGUAUAUUUUGACCUUUUCUUUUUGAUGUUUUAAGUGUUUCAGUUUAUAUAUUGUGGUAACCAAUUGCUAAUUUCUUUAGGCAUGUAAUGACACCUAUUCUUUUCUGUCUUCUCAUGAAAUAGUGAACUGAAGUUUCUUUUCUUUUUGUUGUUAGGACUAGGUUGUUGGUUUUUAUACCGUCAGAUGUAUACACGUGUCCCACAUCUAACGGCUCAUCCCACCUAUAAAUACCCAAUGUUUGGUAAGACGCAAAGGUAAUGAAACUCUUACUACAUAGCACUCCAUAACAAGUUUAUAUAUUUCUCAUCCCCCUUAUUAUUCUUUUGCACAACUCCUGGGUACUGUUCCGACCACCUAAACCUGACUUGACCGUCGUAGUGUAUACGACCGCCAUCACCCCGCUGGUCCCAGCCGCGUGCGUUGAUUGUGCAUAAGGAGGAAUACGUGAAGUAGCUAUCGGUUGGCCAUGAGGAAGGUCCAAUUUUCGAGGUCAACAUGACCAAUUUUAUAUGCAUUAAAUGUGACUCUAUGUGCCAAUGCUACAUUCUGCAACUUUUCUACGUCAAUAGUUAUCGUUUGUAACCAUUUUUUGUUAACCGUAAUCCUUUCUAACCAGUUCAGUGUUGAAUGUGACUUUUUUGAAUAGGUUUGUUUUAGAUGUGAUUGUUUGUGACUUGUAAUAUAUUGCAUGUGACUUACCGUCAUUUGUCUAUGAGUAUAAUUUUUGUCAUUUUUUUUGUAAUCGGAAGACAUGACUAGUGAAAUUGUGCUUGCUCCUGACCAAAAAAGAAGUUCAGACGUCCUACUCAGGAGGAGUAGGAGAAGAAGAAGUAGUUAGCUUGCUAGAGAUCACAAGUUGUAAAAUAUGAAAGAAAUGGUGGAUAUGGUCACAAUCGUAGGACUUGUAACAACAUGGUGCCAUUUUACCAAAAAGAGAAAAAAUUAAAGGCAAAGAAACAAUCAAAUCAAUUCAAAUAGCUCAAUAUAUUUUUAUUAAUAACAUCAGGAUAUUCUUUAUAAUUACAAGUUUUUUCAUUUUAUUCAAGAAUUGUGUAUUAUAUAAUAGAUUGAAUUAACAUAUUAUUCAACAAAGAUUUACUAUUGAUGUAAAAAAUUUGAAUUCGUUAUGUGCAUAAAAAUUCAUGUGUUGUGAGUAGGUUUCCGUAUUUUGUAAAAUCUCAACAAAUUGUAACCUAUUAAAUGUGUUAAAUGUGAUGUAUAUGACCAGGUUUAGUAUACUAGUGACUAUUUGUGACCAGGACUUCUCUGUAAUCAAGGGUGUGUAAGCUAUUAUUGGUUGUAACCCAAUCUGUAUUGUUUGUGAUUGUCUGUAACCAUGUAUGUCUUAACUGUGAUUGUAUUUGAUCAAAUUUUUGUUAUAACAUUGAAUGCAUGCGACCAGGUAUGUUGGAGCUAUUAUUGUUUGUGACCAGAUUUGUGUAAGCUGUUAUUUGUUGUGAUAAGAUCUAUCUCAACUUUGAUUGUGCGUGACCAGGUUUUUCUUAAAUGUGACUGUCAGUGAACAUGCCUUUCUUAAAUAUGAUUGCCUAUGACCAGAUUAGUCAUAACUUUGACUAUAUGUACCAAUGUUGUCUUAAUUGUGGUUGUAUGUGAUGUUUGUGUUAACAGUGUUUUGUGAUCUAGUAUGUGAACAAUGACCUUUUGUGAUCAAUUUUGUAUUAAUUGUGACUAUUCGAGAUCUUUUGUGUUAAUUACGACUCUCUGUGAUCAAGUUUAUGUUAAUUGUGACUAUCUGUGACCAUGUCACUGUGAAUGUUUGUGACAUGUUGUUGUCUAACAGUGAUCUAUAUUUGUCUACCAAACUACACGGAGAAUUGAAGAGUAAAUAUUGUUAAGGUUGAAGAUUAAACAUUGUUGAAGAGUUUAUCAAUCAUAAAAUACACAUGUUUUUUUGGAUGCUAAUGCCAUAAAGUGUCUCUUAACACUAGGAUCCACUUUUAGAUGCAAAAUGCCUCAUGCUCACACCAUCCAUUUCCAACAAAUGAAUAAUUAAGAAAUUUAUACCCCACUUUAAGAGGAAUAAAAUAGAGAGCCAAAACCAACACUUACCCUAAAUUGGCAAAAUCUAGUAUUUUCUUCUUUUUUUCAUUUUCAUCUCUUAUUUACGCUAUUUGUAUAAUGACUGAGGAAAGCUUUUUAUGAAGUAGCAAAAUAGCGGAAAAAAAGAGCACUGUUAUUCGUGACUUCAAUUCGCACUCCAUAUCGAUGAAGAACUUUUCAUGUCGGUGUUUCUCUUCUUACUAUAUCGCACUAUCAUCGCCACAUUCCCUUACCUCAACUACCACCUCCAUACUGGAUGACAUCAUGCUUUGAAAUGAAAAAAAUAUACCUGCUAUUUCAUGAAUUGAUUAUAAGGUUUAUCAACACAAGCAAAACUAGGUUACUGCUUCUCCAAGUGUAGUCAAGCAUUUUGCACAAAUACCUUGCAUGCACAAAUUUGUUCAAUUACAAAAUAAGCAAAGAGUUAAUUCUCCAAAUAAUCACUGAAUUUUCCAAAAGUUCCAUGAGGUCACCGAAUUUCAAAACUUUUCUAAAUAGUCAUUGAACUUUGCCAAAGGUUCCCAGGAGGUCACUGAACUUCAAAACUUCCCUACAUAGUCACUAAUCUUUACAAAAAGUUCCUAGGAGGUCACUAAACUAGUGAUGUAUGGGGUCCCAAUUUGUAAAGUUAAGUGAUCCUCUAGGAACUUUUUACAAAGUUCAGUGACUAUUUAAGAAAGCUUUGAAGUUCGAUGAAAUGUUGAAAAUUUUUGGCAAAGUUUAGUGACUAUUUAGGGAAGUUUUGAAGUUCGAUAACCUCCUCGAGACUUGAGAAAGUUCAGUGACUAUUUGGGGAAUUAACUCCUAAGCAAAACACAAUAUCUGCCAUAUAAUCACCAAAAUUUACAAUCAAUAUUCCCCAAAGUUUGUAAUAAAUAUUAGGAUUAUGCUACGUAUACAAACUUUUUUUACAAAUUCCCUUACGCACUACUCACAAUGGGGGUGAGGACUACAAGCCAACAUUUUUUAAAUUCACGUGGGAUAUGCUAAUUUUGUUAGAGAGUACACCAUUUUGUCAACAAGAUUUUGUACAAAUAUCUUUAUCCUAAAUAUUAAGUUAAAUAAGAGGCGAACAAAGUUUUCAACCAAACAAACUCGUACAACGAAUUUGCAGUGCCACCACCACUACCACCAGCAUCCCUACCAAAAAUCCAACACACAAAUUCUAGGUCAACAUUGGAGCUGAACCCAUAGAGCGUGUGGAAUGAAUCAUCAUUUCAUCAAAGAUUUUCAAAAUUCCAAAACUCCCAAAUAUGUGCACCAUUAACCUAAAGUUACAAUUUCAAUUCAUAUUCACUCACACCUACAAUUAACAUUUGUAUCGACAUAGAAGAACUUGAGAAAGAAAGGAAGUGCAGAGAGGGAAGGGGGGGGGGGGGGGGGAUCGUAGAAUGAAAAAUAAAGGGAUUGUAGAAUGAAAAAUAAGUGAAUUGUUAUAACGGUAUUGUUUGAAAUGAUUUGAUUUGAUUUAGGACAAUUAUUUAAUAUAUUAAUCAUAAUCUAAAGUCUUAUUUAUAACCCGACUGGUGAAAUUAUACCACCUUAAUUUUGAAUUGUAUACUUUAUAUGUAGAGUUUGGGUUAAUUUUUCCUAAGGGUUCAUCUGAUUUUAAAAAAUGGAAUUUGGGUGGAAAGAAAACGAAUUUCAAGAAAUUGAAUUGUUUAGAGCUUGUUUUACUGGAAAUUGUCAGUUAAAUGUGUUUGAUUGGUAUAAUUUCUCACAUGAAAUAUGUUGAAAUUUUGGAUCUUUUGAUGUUCGUUUCGCUUUGUUUUUUAUGAAUAAUGUCAAUAGAUUUUUUAUAAUUGUAGAUAAAAUUUGUUUCCAUUGUCUAAAAAAAAAAAAAAUUUAAAAAGAAGAAGUUGGAAACCCCAUUUUCUCACCAAAAUCCAAGGAAUUGGAGUUCCUUUAAAAGCAAGAAAAUGAGGCCAUGCGAGGGAGCAAUGAAAAAUGUAUUCCCUGGAAAAUUUUGGGAAUCAAACAACAAAAAUUGGGUGGAAAAUAGCUCUAUCAAACAUAUCCUAAUUUGAAUUGAAAAUACGUCCUUUUUUCUUGUCUUUUCUUUUUUUAAUGGGUCUCAAACAUGCACUAAGCAUUGGAGUGCCAUAGAUUGGGUCGUGAGACAAUAUAGCUCUUACAUUUGGUAACUUGACAAGAGUCGAGCAUUUUUCUUCAAUUCUAAGAUCCAUGGUGAUCAGCAGAUGCGAGUAACCUUUCAAUUGUUUUAGAAAAUUAUUAAGGGAAGGAAAAUCCAAAUAAAAACAGCUAGGCUUGAGUGUUACAGUAGCCUAAAAUUUAUCGGCUUAACAACGUUAUUUUGACUUCCCAAACCAUGAACAUGUAUAUUAUAUAUGCAACUUUUGAUUUUGACACCCUUCGGAUGGACGAUCCCAGGUGGGAAAUUCAAUUCCAUUCACUAUUGUAGGAUCAUCAUUGGGCUCAUCCCCAAGUCAGACGUCACCUUGUCUUGCAUUAUUACAUGAUUAUUACUAAGUGUACUGUCAUUUAAAUAAUCUUGUAGUUUUAAGUCCAGAAAAUACAAUAGUAGUCACUACUUCUACUCGCAUUAUGUCUACUAUCAAAAUUUUCUAAAUAUUUAUGUGUCAUGUAGACUGAUAAUAUCCUCAAUUUAUUACGAAUAACGCUUCAUGCAAACAGCUAACUACAUCUAUGGAGUGUCAUGCAUACACCAAUGGCUAGAAAAUCAAACUACCCGUCGAUAUCCUACUUUGCUAAAACAUAGAGUCCAUUGGUAAUGGGAACUGACAGAUAAUACAGGACCCAAAAAAAAAAUUUCCCAACAAUCUUCUCAUCUAGACAGCAGCAUGGAUUAUACUAACUAAGCCAAUUUUCAUGAAACUGUGAAGCUGGUGGUAUUACUCGGCCUUCAAUGAUUUGGCAAUGUUGAUCACAAACCGGUAUUUAACAUCAGAUUUCACAAGACGAUCCAUUGCAGUGUUGAUGUAAUCAAUAGGGAUGAUCUCCACAUCUGGUAAUAUGUUGUGCUUUGCUGCAAAAUCAAUCAUCUCUUGGGUCUCUUUCAUUCCUCCUGUCCCACUGCCGGCUAUUAAUUUUCUACCUGGAGUCAUUGUGGAAGGUUAGCAAUAUUGUCAAGACCAGACCUGGCCUGACCAGAGAAACUGGGCAUCUCCCAAAUCGGUUUGGUUAUAGGGUAAAAGCAUUUAGAAUUAGAAACCUUGAAUAUAAGCACCAUACAGGUGGGGUUCACCCCAAGAUUUUGCUUUUAUUUUAGCACUGAUUCAACUCAUUGAACCUUGACCUUUUUCCGAGAUUGUUUAGCCAUUAUUUUUUAGCAAAAGUGAAACCCCCUUCCUUUCCCUUCUUUAAAUAAAAAAAAAAAAAAAAAUUAUUUUAAUUUCUUAUGACUAUACUUUUCAAGCUUAAGCAAACAUGAUAGGAACAAGAGAAUGAGAAAUAUUAAUGAAAUGCUUACCUGUAAUCAGGGGAAAUGCUGGCAACUCAAUUGGCUUGUUCGGAACAACAACCACUACCAUCUUUCCAUGAGGCUUCAACAAACUAAGCAGGGGUAAAAUGGGGUGAUCAGCAGAUACAGUAUCGAUGAUCCCAUCCAAUGUCCUUGCUGUAGCCUGCACAUGGACAAAUAUAGAGAUCAAUGUGGUUUCAAGUCUCAGCAGAACAACAAAAUUAAACCAAGCAAAAUCCCGAUUCCUCACCUUCAUCUCCUCAGGAUCACGACUAACCAAAAACAAGUCAGCACCAAGUUUUUCAAUAGCUUCCUUCUUCUUAUUAAUAGAUGUACUGAUAACUGUAAUUUUAGUACCAAAAGCCUUAGCGAACUUCACAGCUACAUGGCCAAGCCCACCAAAACCACCAACACCAAUAUUCAUUCCCGGCCUGUCCAGUCCAAAUUACCUCAAGGGGCUGUUAAGUCGUAAUCCCAGCACAUAAGAGAGGAGCACCAACGUCAAGGGGAAAGUUCUCAGGCCAACAAACAAUGAAGUGCUCAUCAGCAACCAAUAACCUCCACAUGUAAUGGUACCAUCAGUGUAAACAGCGCUAUAGGUCAGUAUCAUUUUAGAACAGUAAUUUUCAAGAUCAUUGGUGCAUUGAUCACACUGGUGACAUGAUCCAACCAUACAUCCAACUCCUACUUUGUCCCCAAACUUGACUUUCUUAACCUUGCUGCCAACCUCAGUUACUUCACCCACUAUCUCGUGCC
rnacentral:lncRNA from 1 species